AAAGCAGGGACCUUUGUACUUCAACUGCAGGAAGUGAAUUCUUCCAUCAACCAUGCGACAUUGGGAGAGAACCCCAUGCUCUGGAUAGGAACAUAGCCCAGCCAACACCUUGACUGCAGCCUUGUGAGACCCUAAGCAGACGACCUAGCUAAGCUGUGCCCAGAAUCCUGACCCAAGGAAACUGUGAGAUAAUAAAUAUCUGCUGUUUUAAGCUGCUAGGCUUGCGGUGAUUUGUUAUAAUGCAAUAGAGAGUUGAUAAUGAGAUAGACUGGAAGCCAGAGAAUGGGGACUGUCAGGAGAAAAAUGGGGUUGGUGCUGGUAUGUCUAACAAGUAUAUGACACGUUAUGGCCGGGUGCGGGGGCUCAUGCCUGUAAUCCCAGCACUUUGGGAGGCUGAAGCGGGCGGAUCACCUGAGGUCAGGAGAUUGAGACCAGCCUGACCAAUAUGGUGAAACCUCGUCUCUACUAAAAAUACAAAAAUGAGCCAGGCUGUGGUGGCGAGCGCCUGUAAUCCCAGCUACUCAGGAGGCUGAGGCAGGAGAAUCGCUUGAACCUGGGAGGCGGAGGUUGUGGUGAGCCAAGAUCGUGCCACUGCAUUCCAGUCUAGGCAAGUGAGACCCUGUCUCAAAAAAAAAUAAAGAAAACUGAACUCCCACCUGGGCAACAGAGUGAGACUCCGUCUGAAAAACAAAACAAAACAAAACAGAACAAAACAAACCAGGACAAAUACCUUAGAAAGGUCAGAAGACUUUGCAAAGUACUUACACUGUACAAGUCUGGGACAAACUGCGUGCUCACUCCUUACCUGGCAAGGAGUUCAAGGCCAUGCUUGGUAGGACAGCAGCUGAGGCAGGCAGUCACCCCUGAGUCUCCCUUCCAAGGUCACGCCCACCACUCACGCCCGAUGGAACCACAAUGCAUGCCUUCAUGC
rnacentral:antisense_RNA from 1 species